rnacentral:rRNA from 1 species
GACGAACCACCCAAACGUUAUUCGGAAUUACUGGGCUUAAAGAGUGCGUAGGCGGCCUUGUAAGUAGGGUGUGAAAUCCCACAGCUCAACUGUGGAACUGCGCUCUAAACUACAUGGCUAGAGGGAUAUAGAGGUGAGCGGAACUGAUGGUGGAGCGGUGAAAUGCGUUGAUAUCAUCAGGAACACCGGAGGCGAAGGCGGCAUCCUGGACCGGUAAUUGACGCUGAGGCGCGAAAGCCAGGGGAGCAAACGGG